AUUUUUAACAUUUAUAUUAUCUUCACAUUCACAUAUUUGUGUAAGCUAUUGUCUGUUUUUUUAUGUAGAAUUCGUCAUUAAAUAAUUGCAUAUUGUCUCACCUUGACUAAUAAGUGUGAUUACUUGUGUAGUUAUUUGAUUACUUUGACAGGUUUCAAACUUGAAGUUCAAGUUGAAGAUUAAUUGAAGAAAGAUUUAUUUGUUUAUUUGAAUGUAUAUAUAUAUUUUAUUUUUGCCUAUUUUAUUUAUUUGAAUGUUGUAACAAUUGUAACUCUAAAAGAUCAUAUAUAUAAAUUUAUUUGGGGGGUCUUCUAGGGGAGGGGGAUUUAUAUGCUUACUUGUUCAUUAAAUUUUUUAGAAAUCAUGCCUAUAGGUUUGUCUUUAAUCGCCUAGAUUUAAUAUUUGUAGGUGUUAUAAUCUAAUCAAUUUUCAAUUUGCUUGACGCUUUUGUUAACAAGUCUUAAAAAAUAAUAACUAGAUUCCAUUAAUUUUUUAAAUGUUAAAAUCAAAUCCUAAUAAUCUAGUAGGUUGUUAGAUGUUAAAAAUAUAUUAUAAACUUUCAUUUGUCUUGUCACGUAGAAACUAUGCCUAAGCAUUAAAUUGUUCAUAUCAUUUACAAAAUCAUGCAUAUAUAUGUUACUCUGUUUUUUUUUAACACCUAGAAAUCAUGUCUAUAGGGUUGUAAAUAAACUUUUAGCAUAUCCUUAAAAAAUAAAAUUUGUUUGUGCAUAUUUGAGCCCUCUCCCUAAAAUUAGUUAAUAUUAUUUAAUUAGUAAUCCUAUUUGUUUUCCGCAUUCAUGAUGCAAUAUUUUUUUUAAUAAUACUAAAUUAGAACAUUUCGUGCAUUUAACAAAUUACUUGGCUUUAAAAAUAUUUCAUAUCAAAACCUUGUAACAUAAUUUUCUUAAAAAGUCAUUAUUCAAUCUUUCUUUAAAACUUUGGAUUGAUUUUGACAUUGUUUAUUUUGAAAAUAAAUUAUAAGCACUAUCUCCUAACCUAUCGUUAGUGGGAAAGUCAAAGGAACUACGAGGUCUAGUUCCAAUUUUUAAACCCGACGCGUCCCCGGAAGUACCAUCUACCCACUAAUUUCAAAAGGAAUUAUGUGUAUUUAUAUGUAAAUGUUUAUGUGCCUACAUGUAAACUAGAUCUUUUAAAUCAUUUUUUCAAAAAUAUGAACUAUUGUUUUUUUAAGACCGACCUCAAAUCAAAAUUGUUUCUA
rnacentral:lncRNA from 1 species